UCCUCAUAUAUAACUUUAUAUCCGAUCUAGUAAAACUAACUUCAACCAAGUAAAUAGGUUAAUCUCCCUCAAUGCAUCUUCACAUUGAUGUAAUAAUUAAUGUAAAAAUUAAGAAGGAUUAAUUCGUUAUUAACUCACAGAUUGAUCGAUGGAUCCAGGUUUUUCCAUUCCAGCGGCAACGUAGAUUGCCAUGGAAAUCUGGUUAGUGAAGUUGCAAAGAGCAUAUAUCAAGGACGAACCUGAUACGCUGUGUGCUACCACUAUCACCUGCAAAACAAUAAAUGAAUAUAUAUAUGUAUAUGUAUGUACUGAGUGUUUAUAGUGUAUAUGUAUAUAUAUACGUAGGUGAACUUUUCGCCGGGCAGCAAAGUAGAGAAGAGAUCGAAGAGAGGGCGGUUGUGUUGUUGGAAAGUGAGAACAGUGUUGGGAUCGGUAAAAUCGAUUCCGGCACCGGCGAGAUCCAGGCAGGUGACGUUGUAGCCGGCGGUCUCCAGAAGAGAUAUGAUCUUUUACCAGCACCAGGCGCCAUGGCAUGCACCAUGGACGAACACAAGAUGCACCUUGGAUUUUCCUUUUCCUCACUCAUAAUCACUCAAUAUUUUCUGCCUGUGACAUAAAUCUAAAGCAAAGACCGGUUUAUGAAGAUUAUACCUUUGAUGGCAACUGAUGAGCUAAAAAAUGUGAAAUAGCUAGAUACAAUAAUUAAAUGCAGCAACUGUUUCACUUGCAAUUAGUCAAAACUCAUCAAGAACACUUGAAAAAUCAAAUAUGUUCCUCAAUUACAUACAUAUUUUCUAUAUUUAUUUUUUAAAACUUAUACUUAUUUCGUUUACAAAUAGUUGAAAAUGAAGAGAAUAAUGAUUUAAAAAAAAAUUAAAUGCAAUUUUUAGAUUUUUAAAAAAAUUAUUUUAUUUUUGUCUCAAUUAAUUCAAAACAUAUAAACACAUCUCUUAUGAAUGCACAUAUAAUUUAAAAAAUACAAAUUAAAAAAUAUUUUCAUGUACUGAAUAAAUCCUUAACUCUCUCCUCGCUCAUUUCAAGUGUUAUUAUUUUCCAUCUCAAUAUUGAGGAUUUGUUUAUACUCAAACUGUAUUUAACUUUAUUAGUAUUUGGCCCAAAGUCUCAUUUACUUCUUUUCGUCAUUCUUUGCCACUCAUGAUCCAUGUUAGUAAGCUUUUCGUAACAAGGACUUUAUGAAAGCAUAGAGAAGGAUGGUAGAUAAAGGUAGCUAUCCGGUGGGAGUAGAGGAGUAGAGGUAUAUUUUUUGAAUAAUUUUUUUUUAACAAUAUUAAUCAUAACAGUAAAAUCAUGCAGAUGUAGUAAUACUAACAAAGUGUACAAAAUAUAAAUGCGUUAAAAUAUUAUAUAAGAUAGGACAGUGAAGUACAUGAUAAACAAAGAGUGAAAAUUAAAAAAUAAAAAAUAAUUAUAAUUAUAAUUUUAAGACAAUAAGUGUAGAGACAAAAUAAAUAACAGAGAGUGCAAAAGUAAGACUUAAAAGUUAAACUAAGCUGUCAUAGAGAUUAAAAGAAGAGAUGAGGAAGUGUUAGAUGUCAAAAGGUGGAAAGACAAUUCAUUGGUGAUUAUCCUUUUUUAUUUACAAGUUAUGGAGAGAGUUAUCGUCAAGCAAUAGAGGAUAUCAUAAGGUGUUACUAUGUUGAAUUACUUUUUUUUUUUUUGAGCUAAUGAUGCAUAUAUUAAUCAAAUAUGUGAUAUAUAAAAUCAGUAAUAACACCAUACAUAUAAUCUUCAAAUUAUGCAUAAAAAAAUAUAAUCUAAUUCAAAAAUACAAUUUCUUAUAAAGAAAAUGAUAAAUAAAUUAUUAAGUUAAAUAGUAAUUAAUUUACUGAGUUAGAGUUAAAUGUAGAAUUUAAAUGAGAUUUUAAAUCAAACAUUAAAUUUAGAUAAAAACGAAAGAUGUUUAUUUUUUUUAAUCUUUGGUAAAACUUAUAUAUAUUUUAAUUUCUAAUAACAAAAUAGACGAAAAAUUGUUUGAAAAAGUACUAUGCUGUUAGAAAACAAAAGUCAAAUAAAACAAUGAAAAAUUAUUUUUUUUUAAUUUAAUAUUAAAUUUAGAUGUAUUUUAGAUUCUCUAUUUCUUAUGCUUUGCGAAUAAUAUAUCAUGAUAAAUGUACGCACCACAUCAUACUCAUCAUCAUAUAGGCAAUAUUAAGUAGUAACAAAGAAAAGAAUAACCAUAAUAUAAAUAAAUAAAUGAGUAAGCAUGUUAAUCACAAUUAACUAAGUUAUAUUACGGGAUGAGUUAACACCCGCUUAAUUUAUUAAUCUUCUCGAACUUAGAAUCUCUAAAACGUGAUUAAUAUUUUUCACUUUUGAGUAAGUUGAGCCUUGCAUCACCCAAUUGUGACAAACAUCAUCUCUUAUAAUUCUCCUUUGUGAGGCGAGAGAAUUGGAAGAAGGAAACUGUAUUGUUAAAUUUUCACUCUUCUCUCAACAUAAUAAAUAUAUAUAACGAUUGUUGGAGGAGGCAUUUAUAUAAUAAUUAUUAUUACUAAGUUGAGUUUAUAGAAGCUGUAGCUUGGACGAGGAAAGUAGAGACAUGCACUGUAACUAUUAUGUUAUUAUGGUAAUAAAUGAUUAACUAGAUAUAACCUCAUAAUUAAAUAUAGUCAUAUGUUCAUCGUUGUUACCAAAGAAAAUAAAAUAAAAAAAAGAAAACAACAUACAAUUGUCAUACAAUUUUUCUUACAUAUGAACUUGUACAAUGGAAUAUGCGCAAUAUAAUAAUAAUAUAAUUUCUUAUAACAUACAUAAUAUAGUCAUUCAGUCAAGAUAUAGUCUUUAUAUAAUUUUAAUUAAGCUGAUUUGAGAGAAGCAAUAACCUGUAGCAGAAAAUUAAAUAGAGCUUCGGGUGCAGAGAAAAAAGGAGAGUGAUCGCUGUCCAAAGUGAAGACCAGAGAAGGAGGCCACUUUCUUAUCAUCUCAUCUUGCUUGCUCGGAUCAAUGAUUCGGUCCUGCAAUGUCUUUAUGAACACACGAGGCACAAGCUCUGCCUCUUUCGAUUCACCCAAAUCUCUUAAAGAUGCUCUUGCUGGUGUUGGUCGUAGCAGCAUGGAGGCUAAUGUUGAGUCCUAUAAAUUAAUUUAUUCACUAAAUUAAUUACCUACUAAUAAUACAAACAACUUAAUUAAUUAACUAAUCAUUAGUUAUAUAUUUAAUUUUGUGAAAUGUAUGAAUGGCAGUGCAAUUGCAUGCUCACCUCUAAAGGGCUCAAGUUGUAGUAAUAUACCCUUUGAUAUUCUUUUUUCAUGAUGAUACUGGUUGGGGGUUGGUCUUCACCUAAUGCAUAUGUGCAGUCGAACACCUCCGUUAGUGGCGGCAACCUUCUAUACCAUAAAUUAACCUAUAUAUAUGUAUAUAUAUAUAUAAUAACAACCACACAAUAUAAGUAAACUCAUAUUUAUAUAUAGAUUCUUUUAAAAGAAAAUUAUAGUAAUAAUUACCUGCUUAACUUUUGUUCAUUAAAUCAUAAAACAUAUUUUUCUUUUCAAAAUCCGAAAUGCAAUAAUAGCAUUUAAUUAUCAUUAAAUUAUAAGUACAUUAAUAAGAGCAUCAAGUAUCCAUUGAGAAAUCCGAAAUGCAAGAACGAUAAGGAGAUAAGGUUUUAUUUUGACGGCUUUCGUUUUUCAGCCUUUAACAUGCUAUCUAUAUGAUAUAUCUGUCUAUAAGAUAAGGUAGAUCCCCCAACCCAGUCCCUCCACACACACACACACACACAUAAAUAUAUAUAUAUAUAUUUGAACUAGUAAUGAUUAAUUUCACUGCUCCUCAUAUAUAACUUAUAUCCCGAUCUAGUAAAAUUAACUUCAACUAAGUAAAUAGGUUAAUCUCCCUCACUGCAUCUUCACAUGAUGUAAUAAUUAAUGUAAAGAUUAAGAAGGAUUAAUUCAUUAUUAACUUACAGAGUGAUCGAUGGAUCCAGGUUUUUCCAUUCCAGCGGCAACGUAGAUUGCCAUGGAAAUCUGGUUAGUGAAGUUGCAAAGAGCAUAUGUCAAGG
rnacentral:lncRNA from 1 species